UCUCUGAACACCGACAUGUAGGUGUUAAGAGAAGCCAUAUUUUCACUCCGUACACCGACAUGUCGGUGUUAAGAGUA